rnacentral:rRNA from 1 species
GACGAACGCUGGCGGCGUGCCUAAUACAUGCAAGUAGAACGCUGAAACUUGGUGCUUGCACCGAGCGGAUGAGUUGCGAACGGGUGAGUAACGCGUAGGUAACCUGCCUGGUAGCGGGGGAUAACUAUUGGAAACGAUAGCUAAUACCGCAUAAGAGUAGAUGUUGCAUGACAUUUGCUUAAAAGGUGCAAUUGCACCACUACCAGAUGGACCUGCGUUGUAUUAGCUAGUUGGUGGGGUAACGGCUCACCAAGGCGACGAUACAUAGCCGACCUGAGAGGGUGAUCGGCCACACUGGGACUGGGACACGGCCCAGACUCCUACGGGAGGCAGCAGUAGGGAAUCUUCAGCAAUGGACGGAAGUCUGACCGAGCAACGCCGCGUGAGUGAAGAAGGUUUUCGGAUCGUAAAGCUCUGUUGUAAGAGAAGAACGAGUGUGAGAGUGGAAAGUUCACACUGUGACGGUAUCUUACCAGAAAGGGACGGCUAACUACGUG